AAAAAAGGUAAGCUACUAAGAGCGAAUGGUGGAUGCCUUGACUGGUAAAGGCGAUGAAGGACGUACUAGACUGCGAUAAGCUACGGGGAGCUGUCAAGAAGCUUUGAUCCGUAGAUUUCCGAAUGGGGCAACCCAAUGUAUAGAGAUAUACAUUACCUAUAUAGGAGCGAACGAGGGGAAUUGAAACAUCUUAGUACCCUCAGGAAAAGAAAUCAAUAGAGAUUGCGUCAGUAGCGGCGAGCGAAAGCGCAAGAGGGCAAACCCAGUGCUUGCACUGGGGGUUGUAGGACUGCAAUGUGCAAGAGGUAAGUUUAGCAGAACAUUCUGGAAAGUAUAACCAUAGAGGGUGAUAGUCCCGUAUGCGAAAAACAAACCUUAGCUAGCAGUAUCCUGAGUAGGGCGGGACACGAGGAAUCCUGUCUGAAUCCGGGUCGACCACGAUCCAACCCUAAAUACUAAUACCAGAUCGAUAGUGCACAAGUACCGUGAGGGAAAGGUGAAAAGAACUGAGGUGAUCAGAGUGAAAUAGAACCUGAAACCAUUUGCUUACAAUCAUUCAGAGCCCUAUGUAGCAAUACAGGGUGAUGGACUGCCUUUUGCAUAAUGAGCCUGCGAGUUGUGGUGUCUGGCAAGGUUAAGCAAACGCGAAGCCGUAGCGAAAGCGAGUCUGAAUAGGGCGCUUAGUCAGAUGCUGCAGACCCGAAACGAAGUGAUCUAUCCAUGAGCAAGUUGAAGCUAGUGUAAGAACUAGUGGAGGACUGAACCCAUAGGCGUUGAAAAGCCCCGGGAUGACUUGUGGAUAGGGGUGAAAGGCCAAUCAAACUUCGUGAUAGCUGGUUCUCUCCGAAAUAUAUUUAGGUAUAGCGUUGUGUCGUAAUAUAAGGGGGUAGAGCACUGAAUGGGCUAGGGCAUACACCAAUGUACCAAACCCUAUCAAACUCCGAAUACCUUAUAUGUAAUCACAGCAGUCAGGCGGCGAGUGAUAAAAUCCGUCGUCAAGAGGGAAACAACCCAGACUACCAGCUAAGGUCCCUAAAUCUUACUUAAGUGGAAAACGAUGUGAAGUUACUUAAACAACCAGGAGGUUGGCUUAGAAGCAGCCAUCCUUUAAAGAAAGCGUAAUAGCUCACUGGUCUAGUGAUUUUGCGCGGAAAAUAUAACGGGGCUAAAGUAAGUACCGAAGCUGUAGACUUGCACACAACUUAGAUUAUUUAAGUUUAGAAUAUGAGAAACUAAGUUAUAUGUUUAGUUAUAUUUUUACUGAUUUUUAUAGAGUAAAGAUAGAAAUAAAACUUAGUAAAAUCAGUAAAAAUAUUCUUAGACUAAAGUUAAGUAGUUUAAGUUGUGUGCAAGUGGUAGGAGAGCGUUCUAUUUGCGUCGAAGGUAUACCGGUAAGGAGUGCUGGAGCGAAUAGAAGUGAGCAUGCA
rnacentral:rRNA from 1 species